AGAUGACCCAAUCAUGACGUGAGAAGCAAGGUACAGGAGUCACUAAUGAAGCCGUUCAUACAUAUGAGGAACUGUGCAAAUGAAAGAGAUAAUCCCAGAGAUCAAACUCUACAUCUUCUUAUGGCUGGUAACCACUGCCUGCACCAUCAAGCUAAUUAAGACGGAAACUUGAAAGUGCUCAUUGUGGUGCAUCUUCCAUACAAGGUAAUUCCUUUAUAAAUGCUGUUGAAAUUGCUGUGUUUCAUGGGAGAGAAUAAUGAAGACUACCUGUCAAAUCACACCAUUAUUUGGCUAGACAAUGCAAGCCUUCUCCCAGCCACCUCUCAGCCCUCUGCUUGCACCUCUCUCCAAACCGAAUACCAACACAGAGGGGAAGAAUGAGUGCAGAACCCAUGCUGACCUUUCCUGCCGGCCAGCGCUGACCUUUCCAACCUCAUUAGAGUGCUAGGUAUGGAAGCCUAAAUAAAGAGUUGUUGAUACACUU